rnacentral:rRNA from 1 species
GCGAGCGUUAAUCGGAAUUACUGGGCGUAAAGCGCAUGCAGGUGGUUUGUUAAGUCAGAUGUGAAAGACCCGGGGCGUCAACCUCGGAAUAGCAUUUGAAACUGGCAGACUAGAGUACUGUAGAGGGGGGUAGGAAUUUCAGGUGUAGCGGUGAAAUGCGUAGAGAUCUGAAGGAAUACCGGUGGCGAAGGCGGCCCCCUCGGACAGAUACUGACACUCAGAUGCGAAAGCGUGGGGAGCAAACAGGAUUAGAUACCCUGGUAG